UGCAUCGACCGGGAAUCGAACUUGGGCCGCGCGCGUGUCAGGCGAGCAUUCUACCACUGAACCACCGAUGC
rnacentral:tRNA from 1 species